rnacentral:tRNA from 1 species
GCCUGGGUGCUCAGUUGGCUGAACAUCUGACUUCGGCUCAGGUCAUGAUCUCACAGUCUGUGAGUUCGAGUCCCACCUCGGGCU